ACUUUGUUAGUUCAGUAGCAGAAUGCCUGCCCUUCAAGCAGGAGACAAAGGUGCGAUUCCUUUACAGAGUA
rnacentral:tRNA from 1 species